rnacentral:rRNA from 1 species
AGAGUUUGAUCCUGGCUCAGAGCGAACGCUGGCGGCGUGCUUAACACAUGCAAGUCGAGUGCGCAGUUUCCUGUAGCAAUACAGGAAACCGGCGCACGGCGCACGGGUGAGUAACACGUGGGCAACCUGCCCUCCAAUGGGGGAUACCCCCGCGAAAGCGGGACUAAUACCGCAUGACAUUCCGGUGGCUUCGGCCGCUGGAUUCAAAGGCCGCAAGGCCGUUGGGGGAGGGGCCCGCGCCCGAUUAGCUUGUUGGCGAGGUAAUGGCUCACCAAGGCUUUGAUCGGUAGCCGGUCUGAGAGGAUGGCCGGCCACACUGGAACUGAGACACGGUCCAGACUCCUACGGGAGGCAGCAGUGGGGAAUCUUGCGCAAUGGGCGAAAGCCUGACGCAGCGACGCCGCGUGGGGGAUGAAGCUUCUCGGAGUGUAAACCCCUUUCGACCCGGACGAAUGUCCCGCAAGGGAUUGACGGUACGGGUAUAAGAAGCCCCGGCUAACUACGUGCCAGCAGCCGCGGUAAGACGUAGGGGGCCAGCGUUGCUCGGAAUUACUGGGCGUAAAGGGUUCGUAGGCGGUGUGGCAAGUCGGAAGUGAAAUCUCUGGGCUCAACCCAGAGGCUGCUCCCGAAACUGCCAUGCUAGAGUGCGGGAGAGGCGAGUGGAAUUACAGGUGUAGCGGUGAAAUGCGUAGAUAUCUGUA